AGAGUUUGAUCCUGGCUCAGGACGAACGCUGGCGGCGCGCCUAACACAUGCAAGUCGAACGAGCGAGAGAGAGCUUGCUUUCUCGAGCGAGUGGCGAACGGGUGAGUAACGCGUGAGGAACCUGCCUCAAAGAGGGGGACAACAGUUGGAAACGACUGCUAAUACCGCAUAAGCCCACGGGUCGGCAUCGACCAGAGGGAAAAGGAGCAAUCCGCUUUGAGAUGGCCUCGCGUCCGAUUAGCUAGUUGGUGAGGUAACGGCCCACCAAGGCGACGAUCGGUAGCCGGACUGAGAGGUUGAACGGCCACAUUGGGACUGAGACACGGCCCAGACUCCUACGGGAGGCAGCAGUGGGGAAUAUUGCACAAUGGGGGAAACCCUGAUGCAGCGACGCCGCGUGGAGGAAGAAGGUCUUCGGAUUGUAAACUCCUGUUGUUGAGGAAGAUAAUGACGGUACUCAACAAGGAAGUGACGGCUAACUACGUGCCAGCAGCCGCGGUAAAACGUAGGUCACAAGCGUUGUCCGGAAUUACUGGGUGUAAAGGGAGCGCAGGCGGGAAGACAAGUUGGAAGUGAAAUCUAUGGGCUCAACCCAUAAACUGCUUUCAAAACUGUUUUUCUUGAGUAGUGCAGAGGUAGGUGGAAUUCCCGGUGUAGCGGUGGAAUGCGUAGAUAUCGGGAGGAACACCAGUGGCGAAGGCGGCCUACUGGGCACCAACUGACGCUGAGGCUCGAAAGUGUGGGUAGCAAACAGGAUUAGAUACCCUGGUAGUCCACACCGUAAACGAUGAUUACUAGGUGUUGGAGGAUUGACCCCUUCAGUGCCGCAGUUAACACAAUAAGUAAUCCACCUGGGGAGUACGACCGCAAGGUUGAAACUCAAAGGAAUUGACGGGGGCCCGCACAAGCAGUGGAGUAU
rnacentral:rRNA from 1 species